GGAAGUAAAAGAACAAGGUUUCCGUAGGUGAACCUGCGGAAGGAUCAUUAUCGAGUUUUGACUGGGUUGUAGCUGGCCUUCCGAGGCAUGUGCACGCCCUGCUCAUCCACUCUACACCUGUGCACUUACUGUGGGUAUCAGAUCGUGAAGCGUGCUCUUUUACCGGAGCUUGUGAAGCGUGUCUGUGCCUGCGUUUAUCACAAACACUAUAAAGUAUCAGAAUGUGUAUUACGAUGUAACGCAUCUAUAUACAACUUUCAGCAACGCAUCUCUUGGCUCUC
rnacentral:misc_RNA from 1 species